rnacentral:rRNA from 1 species
UGUGGGUAGCGGUGAAAUUCCAAUCGAGCCCGGAGAUAGCUGGUUCUCCCCGAAAUAGCUUUAGGGCUAGCCUCAAGGUGAGAGAUACGGAGGUAGAGCACUGAAUGUCCUAGGGGGUAUUGCACCUACCGAAGACUAUCAAACUCCGAAUGCCGUCAUCUUAUACUUGGGAGUCAGACUGUGGGUGAUAAGAUUCAUAGUCGAAAGGGCAACAGCCCAGAUCGUCAGCUAAGGUCCCUAAAUGUAAGUUAAGUGGUAAAGGAUGUGGGAUUGCACAGACAACCAGGAUGUUGGCUUAGAAGCAGCCACUCAUUCAAAGAGUGCGUAAUAGCUCACUGGUCGAGUGAUCCUGCGCCGAAGAUUUCCGGGGCUAAAACUUACUACCGAAGCUACGGCAUCAGUAAUGAUGGGUAGGGGAGCUUCCCAUACGGGUUGAAGCAUGACCGUAAGGACAUGUGGACAGUAUGGGAGUGAGAAUGUUGGCAUGAGUAGCGAGAUGUGGGUGAGAAUCCCACAGGCCGUAAACCCAAGGUUUCCAG